rnacentral:lncRNA from 1 species
GUCCCGCCCCGUGCCUGACGUCGGGGGCGAGCCGGGCCUGCGCGGUAGUGGGACCCGACCCUGUCUCCAGUGGGCGUCUUGGGCCCCGGCUCUAUUCUGGGCUGCGGGCCUGGGAAGGGCUCGCCGGGUGCCAAAUGAGCUGUCCUAACUCUGCGGGGCUGCAGCUUCCUGCAUGAUGCUGGGGAGCUUGGCGCCUGACCCAGGAUCUAGAAGGCACUCUGGGCAGGCCGCGCUCCGCCCACGAAGGUCUGGCUUACCACACGCUCCUCCCCAUUCCCAGUGAGCCGCUUUUUGCAGCACCAGGCGAACACUUACACCAGUGCUUUGUAAAGGAAUCUUAUUGUCCACCCCGUGUCUUGGCAAAAGAACAGUGAUCACACAGAUUCCUACUUGGGCUCUUUCCUUUAAUCUUCGGAGGCUGAGUUUGCCCAACUCAGGUUUAACCACCAAGGACUCUGAGAGCUGGCAGGUCUGAGUAACCCUGGUAACAAUUCUCUUCACCUUAUCAAAACCUGAGCUAAAACCAAUGCAUCAGCUGAUGAUGACAGCAGAGAGUGGCAGGGCUGAGGACCCAAAGUCAUUUCCCAGGCUGGCGGAGAAUAAACUGCCAGGGAGAAGAAUGAGAAGACAGGAGACAAACUGUUUGGAAAGCUAAAUCUUCCCUCUUAAUGAAUAAAGGUUUUUGCCUUGUCUUAAAGUUUCUGAGUCCUAAUUUUGGCAAAAUAAAUAACUUAUGGUAAUCUGGAAUUGUAUUUUGUAAUAUUAAGUGUUUUGAACCUCUAACAUUUACUUCCCAAAAUCAAACUUCAGUUUCAAAAUUGUCUCUCUUGACCCCUAGCUUUUGGAUGCUACAGAAGGCCCCUGAAGCAUCCAGAAGAGAGGUAAACAGGAUUAUUUAACAUGUUUAGGUACAUGGGAUUGGCCAAAUGGUGUUUAAUGAUCUUCAGGUUAUAUUUUAGUGAAUAAUAUUAAUAUAUUUUCCAAAAUUGUAUGGGAUUUCUAAAAUUCUAAUGUCUGAGUAUAUGCUAGAAAUCAUAAUUAAGGUUAUUAUGUUAAGUUAUUGUAAAACACAGAAAUAAUAAAAUUUGUCAGUCAUGUUCUUGACUAACUACCUUGGACAUUUCACCAUUCAAAAUCGUCUUGUUUUAAUCCUCUUUAAAGGAUGGUUUAUAAUCAGCUAUAGGACUUUGACACAUGCUCUCAAAUGCAAGUUUCUGAUAACUUUGGAGAUUAUGACAUUGGAAUAAAGGAAAAAUGUACAGGACUCAUGAAGAGCUAAAAUAUUCAUGAAUAUCAAGCAAAACAAGAGUUAACAAAAUGGACUUUUUAACCUUUUUGCUUAAAAUGUUGCUGAUCCUUAUUUUGUUUUUCAGAGUCAAGGAAACUUAUUUUAAGCUAUUUAUAGCCUCUAAUAAUUAUGUAAGGUAUACUUCUGUAAAUAAAAU